AUUUGUCUGGUUAAUUCCGAUAACGAACGAGACCUUAACCUGCUAACUAGUUCUCAAUACUCUGUAUUCUGCAACUUCUUAGAGGGACUAUGUAAAUCAAUUACAUGGAAGUUUGAGGCAAUAACAGGUCAGUGAUGCCCUUAUAUGUCCUGGGCUGCACGCGUGCUACACUGAUGCAUACAACAAGUGCCUAGCCAGACAUGGUAUGGCAAUCUCGAAUAUGCAUCGUGAUGGGGAUAGAUCUUUGCAAUUAUAGAUCUUGAACGAGGAAUUCCUAGUAAGUGCAAGUCAUCAUCUUGCAUUGACUAUGUCCCUGCCCUUUGUACACACCGCCCGUCGCUCCUACCGAUACCGGGUGAUCCGGUGAACCUUUUGGACUCCGUGUGGGGGAAGAUAAGUAAACCAUAUCACCUAGAGGAAGGAGAAGUCGUAACAAGGUUUCCGUAGGUGAACCUGCRGAAGGAUCA
rnacentral:rRNA from 1 species